UCCGAUCUAUCGAAUGCAAAAGAGUUGUUUCGAAUUGAAGAACACCAUGUCCUUUCGGCAAAAACUUGGUGCAUAUAAGUUGUGCAAACACCAAACCUGUGACAAAAAAUCAAGUUCAAUUUAAAUAUUUAUAUUAUAAAUCAACUCACAACCAACAAAUGCAGAGGAAAUACACAAUCGUGUGCAUAUGUUACUACAUGUCACUAUAUAUUACUAUAUCUUACUACAUAUGACUACAUGUGACUAUAUAUGACUAUAAUUAUCUAUAGUUAAAUCUUCAUAUAUAUUCAAAAUAUACGGAACCAUACACGAGGUGUCUAGCAUUAGGUGUGAUAUGAUAUCAUUUAGACCACCCAAAUCUCGAAAAAGAGCAACAGUUGGGUUGUUGUAAGCCAUAAAGGCUCCAAGAACAUGUACAAUGGUAUUUACCAAAUUCAAGUGUUGAGAGUCCGUGUCUUUCAAUAGAGGUAGAAGAGUGGGGAUAAAUCACUAUAACAUAUUUAUGCUAGAGUGGGUAAUCAACUUAUUAUUGUUCACUUUUAUAUUAGACUCUAAUCGGUAAUCAACAUUAAUCAGUAUUGAAACAGUAAUCAACAUUAUUGAAACAAUAAUCAACAUUAAUUACCCACUAAAAAACACACAUACAAAUAACUCGAUGAAACACGAAACAAAUAUCAAUUGAGUCGAAGAAUUAGAGUCGAAUAACAACUCAAACAAACAAAUAAAAAAAAUAUGGAACAUCCACAAUCGAACAAAUUUAUUCAAAAGUGGAGUUGAAAGUCAAAAGAUGAAAACGAUUCAUGUAAUAGAAAAAAAAUGGGAGUUUAAGGUUAAAUAAAAUUACCGGUGAAAGGACAUAGGAGCCGCAGGGCCUGUAGUAAUAGACGAAGAGAUCGGAGUCGGAAACUUGGGCAAAGCGUCCUUGCUCGACGAUUUGAUGGCGGCGAGGGCGUCGGCGACGGCGGUGGACGAAGAGAGGGCACGGAGCGGUGGAGGGCGUUGGCGACGGUGGUGCACGAAGAGAGGGAGAGAGGCGGCGGAGGGCGUCAGCGACGGUAGUGAACGAAGAG
rnacentral:lncRNA from 1 species